UACGGAGGGGGCGAGCGUUAUUCGGAAUUAUUGGGCGUAAAGGGCGCGUAGGCGGCUGUACAAGUCAAAGGUGAAAUCCCUCGGCUCAACUGAGGAACUGCCUUUGAAACUGUACGGCUUGAGGCCGGGAGGGGGUAGCGGAAUUCCCAGUGUAGCGGUGAAAUGCGUAGAUACUGGGAGGAACACCAGUGGCGAAGGCGGCUACCUGGACCGGUUCUGACGCUGAGGCGCGAGAGCGUGGGUAGCAAACAGG
rnacentral:rRNA from 1 species